rnacentral:rRNA from 1 species
GCGCGUGAGUGAAGAAGGCCUUCGGGUUGUAAAGCUCUUUUGUCAGGCAAGAAACGGUUCUGGCUAAUAUCCAGAGCUUAUGACGGUACCUGAAGAAUAAGCACCGGCUAACUACGUGCCAGCAGCCGCGGUAAUACGUAGGGUGCAAGCGUUAAUCGGAAUUACUGGGCGUACAGCGUGCGCAGGCGGUUUUGUAAGACUGUCGUGAAAUCCCCGGGCUCAACCUGGGAAUGGCGAUGGUGACUGCAAGGCUAGAGUUUGGCAGAGGGGGGUAGAAUUCCACGUGUAGCAGUGAAAUGCGUAGAUAUGUGGAGGAACACCGAUGGCGAAGGCAGCCCCCUGGGUCAAAACUGACGCUCAUGCACGAAAGCGUGGGGAGCAAACAGGAUUAGAUACCCUGGUAGUCCACGCCCUAAACGAUGUCUACUAGUUGUCGGGUCUUAAUUGACUUGGUAACGCAGCUAACGCGUGAAGUAGACCGCCUGGGGAGUACGGUCGCAAGAUUAAAACUCAAAGGAAUUGACGGGGACCCGAACAAGCGGUGGAUGAUGUGGAUUAAUUCGAUGCAACGCGACCACCCUUACCUACCCUUGACAUGGCAGGAAUCCCGAAGAGAUCUGGGAGUGCUCGAAAGGA